rnacentral:rRNA from 1 species
GACGAACGCUGGCGGCGUGCUUAACACAUGCAAGUCGAACGGAAAGGCCCUGCUUUUGUGGGGUGCUCGAGUGGCGAACGGGUGAGUAACACGUGAGUAACCUGCCCUUGACUUUGGGAUAACUUCAGGAAACUGGGGCUAAUACCGGGUAGGAGCUCCUGCUGCAUGGUGGGGGUUGGAAAGUUUCGGCGGUUGGGGAUGGACUCGCGGCUUAUCAGCUUGUUGGUGGGGUAGUGGCUUACCAAGGCUUUGACGGGUAGCCGGUCUGAGAGGGUGACCGGCCACAUUGGGACUGAGAUACGGCCCAGACUCCUACGGGAGGCAGCAGUGGGGAAUAUUGCACAAUGGGCGGAAGCCUGAUGCAGCAACGCCGCGUGCGGGAUGACGGCCUUCGGGUUGUAAACCGCUUUCGCCUGUGACGAAGCGUGAGUGACGGUAAUGGGUAAAGAAGCACCGGCUAACUACGUG